GGGGGGAGCAAGCGUUGUUCGGAAUCACUGGGCGUAAAGGGCGUGUAGGCGGUCAAGUAAGUGGAAUGUGAAAUGCCUCGGCUUACCCGGGGACCUGCAUCCCAAACUGCUUGGCUUGAGUAUGGGAGAGGAUGAGGGAAUUCCUGGUGUAGCGGUGAAAUGCGUAGAUAUCAGGAGGAACACCGGUGGCGAAAGCGCUCAUCUGGCCCAAUACUGACGCUGAGGCGCGAAAGCUAGGGGAGCAAACGGGAUUAGAUACCCCGGUAGUCCUAGCCGUAAACGGUGAGCACUAGGUGUUGGAGGCAUCGACCCCUCCAGUGCCGCAGCUAACGCAUUAAGUGCUCCGCCUGGGAAGUACGGCCGCAAGGUUG
rnacentral:rRNA from 1 species